rnacentral:lncRNA from 10 species
CAGCCCUUUGGUAGGUGCGCUUUGCUUCCUAACCCGUUGCCGGGUUGGAGAUUCCACCUCCGAAGUUUUCUUUCUGACUUUUGAUUUUACAUUCCUAGUACAGUGGAGAAGCCCAGGCGGCCUAGAAUCCAGUGUCGUCCGUGAGUGCUUGGCUGGUGUUCAAGUGCAUCUUCCAGCCUGAGACCGCGUGGACUCGCUCAUCGUGAGGGCGAGAGGAGGAUAAGCCCAUUGGGCUGUCGGCUGAGAGUGAGGUGCGGGACCAUCCACAAUAUUGUUUGAACAUCUGAAGACAUGGGGAACUUGCCAUCUGAUAUCUGAUAACAGACUUCCUGUAAAGCAGGACUGGUAGUUUCCUGAUAACAAAUUCUUCAAUAUGAAGGAUAUAGCUGUGUCCUUUACAACUGGUAGCAUGGAAAGAAAGAGAAGUCUGCAAAGAUUGAACAAACAGCAUGCACUGUGGUAUCCUUUAUUUAAAAAUUGUGAGCUGACUACAGUUGUAGUGUUCUCAUUUACCAUUCUGAUGGCAUAAUAAACCAAGAGAACAUUAACACAAUUCCA